rnacentral:rRNA from 1 species
UACGGAGGAUGCGAGCGUUAUCCGGAUUUAUUGGGUUUAAAGGGUGCGCAGGCGGUCUGUUAAGUCAGCGGUCAAAUCGUGGGGCUCAACCCCAUCCAGCCGUUGAAACUGGGGAUCUAGAGUGUGCGAGGGGUACGCGGAAUGCGCGGUGUAGCGGUGAAAUGCUUAGAUAUCGCGCAGAACCCCGAUUGCGAAGGCAGCGUACCGGCUCUACACUGACGCUGAGGCACGAAAGCGUGGGUAUCGAACAGG